AGUCUGUAACAUUCGUCGCCAUAAAUCAUCAUCCGUAGCAUUGAAAAUAUCCAAAUACAAACAUACUCCAAGUUCAAGAUUGAUUUCGAAGGUAACAUAGCAUAAAGAAAGCGGAAAAUAAGGCACCAACUGAGAACUUUUAACCCCCCUCCCAGAAGAAAUAUACCGCUAGAGAGGCAUCAUACCAAUAUUGUCGUGAAACCAUAGUACAAUGGAAACAACAGCUGGUUUAACACUCAAAACUUUCACAUAUUUGACUAGUUCUAUCUUUCCAUAUCUCCAUCAAACAGGAGGAACCAGAAGGAUAAAAGUAAAACAAGCAGAUCUCAAAUAUAGCACAAACCAAGCAAAGGGGUAAUUAAAUGUCUUAUUCUUAGUGACAGUAUCAAACUAAUGCAGUUUUCCUGGGAGACAAAUCUUAUCAUAAGACAGUCUUGUCCCAAUAAAACCAUCUAUUGUCUUUUUGCUUUGACCCAAAACCCUUGACCUCUUUUCAUAAUUAAAAAAACUCAUAUCCAGGACAUUUCAAAUUAUAACAGUACUAGUUUUACUUUCAGAAAUAAUAUAAUUAUCCAACCGAGGAUGAGUAAGGAUAUAAACUGAUAUGGAGGGAUGGGUGCUAAAGACCAUUGAAACCUAUGAUCUAGAGUCGUCAGAAAUCGGAGAUAAUAGCAAUAUGCGGAAAAAGGUUUGACACAUCAAAUUUCAAAAGCAACUUUUCUUGUUUGGUUUGCGGUGCAAGACGCAAUUUUAACAGCGGACAACACAAGAAUUAAGGUGGAGGAUACUUGUGAGUCGGUAUGUAUGUGGGAAGAAUCUGGAGAAGAUACUAAUCAUCUCUCGUUACGUUGGGAGGUUCACUUUACAACUAUGGAGUGUUGCAUUCUCAUUCCUUAACAUCUUUUGGGCGUAAUCACUGACAGUGGAGGAAACAAUUACAAGUUGGCGAUUGGAGAGGAUAGGCAAUGAAAGUAAGGCAGCUUGCAAGACAAACCGCCUUUCUCUUUUGGAGUAUGCGGAAUGAACGAAAUAUGUACAAAUAGGAAAAUGUUUCAUAAUAGUGAGAAUGACAGAAAGUAUUAAAAGAUCUUUUCUAUUUCACUUGUAUUUUUGAUAUGACAUAAAAAAUAGCAUAUCGAAUGGAUAGUUGGUCAAACUUGGUGGAACAUAAUGUAUGACUCUAGCAAAGUCAUGUGUGCAUCUUGCAUUCAAUGAGCACCUUGUAUUUCACGAAAAUUGGGGGCCAUAUAAUCCUUCCGCGAGGGGAUAGUAUUUUCCAUUCCUUUCUGUAACCUUCUCUCCUCCAAUGGAGAAUCGUAUUAUUUUAGGCUGGGUGGCAGAUCAUACGACUUAACCGAGACAAAAUCUUCUAAUGGAACUUGGUUCAACUAGGUGGGGAGCUCAAAGAACCACAUGCAAAGGAUGACACUUAGCAAAGCAGCAUUGUUAUGGUUAGUCAAGAGGUUGCGAGAGGCAUCAGACAUAAGGGGGAAAGCUUUUAAAUAGUGGAGAGGCAAAGAUCUGGUUAACUAUUUAUACUUCUCCUUGAAGUUCAAUAAAUAUGGUAGAUUAUGAAGUGAAGAUCAGUGUAGCAAAAUUAUGGAGAGGUGGGGAUUCGAUAUCGGAACAAGGCUACAGUAGUAACUGAAUUUUGGAAGAAGUAACUAACAUUAGAAAGGAACGGCUAGGAUUUAAUGGGAAGCAAUGGUGAGGAUGAUGCCACGUAGAUUGAAGGUGGUUAUAUAAUAGUGAUUAGAGGAGAGAGAAGGAUAACUAACUUUUGGAAAAGUCACGUUUCUUUCCUUUCUGCUUCUCUGUUUCUCUUCUAUCUUUUUCUUUCUCUGUACUUCCUUUUGUUCUCAUCCUUCUUCUUCAUUUCUCAUUUACAGCUUUUCUAUGGAGGUUAUGAAGUUCUUAGUUGAUAGUUCAUUACGUGUAAUUGAGACUUCCGAUUAUCAAUAAAGUUGGUUUGGUUUCUGUGAUUUCCAAUUCAAAUUGUAAAUUGAAUUUGUGAUCCUAUUAAGGUCAUAACAGUAUGAUUGCAGUAAAUGGUGCAUCCAGAUCAGUAAUAAUUCUAACUGAGAACAACUUUAAUGAGGGGUGGUUGGGGCUUGCAACAAAAAUUAAAGGCUUCAUAAAUGGUUUGAAUACACAGCUUGAAGGGGAAAGAAAUUAUAAAGAAGCAUCACACAGUAACAGAUGGGCUCAAAUGGAACAAGAAAUGCAGCAGGAGGUAAACUCUUUUCAUGCCUACAAAUCCAAAGGCGGACGAACUCCUACGUAGAUGCCUAGUGGCAUCAAUAUAUAUUACUGCUUUUGGAGGGUGAAGUAGUCAAGAAUCCAGAAAACAUAAAAAAAGGGAAAUUAUAGUUUUCUAUAUGGGGUUAUAUUCUGUAACAAAAACUUGGAGACCUUCAGGUAGGUGUAGGAUGGAUCACAAGAUUAAUGCUGAAGAUAAUUUCAUGCUUCAUAAGGAAUUUGAGGACCAAGAGAUUUGGGAUAGUGUCAAACUUUGUGCUAGUGACAAAGAUCCUGGCCCUGAUGGUUUUACCAUGGCCUUCUAUACCCAUUGUUGGGAGGUUAUAAAAAAAGAUGUGAUUGCUACAGUCAAGAACUCUCGUGAGAGAUGUGUCUUUGAGAAAAACUUCAUUCUACCUAUGCGGCUUUAAUUCCCAAAAGAAAAUGGGUGCUAAGGAGCUCGCUGACUUCAGACCCAUUAGCCUAAUUGGUAAUGUACAAGAUCAUCUCCAAAAUACUCACCGAGAAAAUCAAAAUGGUUAUGCACAAACUGGUGGACCCCCAAGAGUGGCCUUCAUAAAAGGGAGACAAAUAGUGGAUGUCAUUCUUAUGGCUAAUGAAUAUGUUGAUGCUAAAACUAGAUUACGUAAGUUGGACAUUCGAAAAGCUUAUGACCACCUCAACUGAAAGUUCCUAUUGGAGACUCUUUCUAAAAAGGGUUUUGGAGGUAGAUGGUUAAAGAUGGACGAAGUUUUGCAUCAGCACCGUGAAAUUCUCAGUUUUAAAAAAUGGCUCUCCUAUAAGGUUUCUUCUCUUCACAUAGUCAGUAACUUUCUUCAGUGCCUUAUGAUGAAGAGGCUAUGGAGAUUCGCUUCCAGUGAGCAAGCUUUGUGGAAAGAUGCAACACAGGCUGAAUAUGAAAUAUAGGAUCUCUGGACAGCUAAAAUGGUCACUAGCACGUACGGAUCGAGCCUUUAAGAGCCAUCAGAAACCACUGGCCAAAGCUCAGAGGAGACGCAGUAUUAAAUUAGGUAAUGGUAGGAAAAACUCUUUUUUGGGAAGAUUGAUGGCUAGAACAAGGAUCUUCAAAAACCUUUCCUUUAUAUUUUCACCCUAAACCAGCAGCAAAGGGCCACUGUGGCAGAUGUGGUCAAGCCAAAGGUGGAAUCUGAGUUUUGGAAGACCUCUUAAUGACGGGGAGAUCCAAAGGUUGGUGGAGUUUUGAAAGGUCUUGGGGCAAUUCAAAGGAACUACUCAUGCACAGAAUAGUUUGGAAUGGCAGGAUCACAAUCAAGAUAAUUUCAGUGUCACAAGAGCCUACAAGAAGUUUAAUCCUUGUAACAGUUAGAGAAACAGGUGGCCAUGGAAGUUGAUAUGGAAAACUAAAAUCCCCUACAAAGUGUCUUUUUUUACUUGGCUCCUUGCUAAGGAGACAGUUUUGACCCAGGAAAAUCUUAUGAAAAGAUAUAUUCAAUUGAGUGCUAAGUGCCUCCUAUGUGGUGAAGAAGAAGUAGAGACUGUCAACCAUCUCUUAUUUCACAGUAGAAUAACCAACAUUUUGUGAUAUGUUUUUACCAAUCUGAAGGGCAUGAAAUGGGUUAUGCCUAGGAAAAUUACCAAGCCCCUGAAGAUAUGGAGCAGUUAUGCAAGCAUUACUGGGCAUAAAGAGAGGUGGAAUAUCAUUCCAGCUUGCAUUUGGUGGUCUGUGUGUGGAAAGAAAGAAAUCUCAGCUGCUUCCAAAACAAGAGUAAUUCCAUCCAGAAGAUUAAGAUGAACGGCUUAGUGUUGUUUCUUUUUUGGUGUAAACACGAGUACAUGGAAGAUCUAAAUUUUGCUAUACGAUUGAAGAUCCUCCUGCUACUUUCCACAAUUGUAAUUAGGAACCAGUAAUCUGUUGUGCCAGGAUCUGUUUUUUUUGUUUUGGAAUAGAAUACAAGUUGUUACCUUCUCCCAAAAAAAUAAAGAAAUUGGGAUAUUAGGGGGUUAAAUGAGGAGAGCAAAAGAGCAACAUAAGAAAUUUGUUGCUUCAAUGAAGGGCUGGCAUUCAUGUGUUGAUUGAAACUAAGCUAACAAGUAAUGACUCAAAUCUUUACCAACAAAUCUAGAACAACAUAUGGUUGGGAGAAGCUCAGGUAGAAGCUAUUGGAAGGAGUGAGUGGAUAGUAGUGUUAUGGGACAAAAAAGUUUGGAAGGGGGAAAUGGUAGACAAUGGAAAUCGAAUGCUUACUUGUAGAUUUGAGGGCAUAGAGCCAGAACUGACAUGGCAUUUAAGUGCAAUUUAUGCAGAAUGUGAUAGAGGGGAAAGGAGGGAGCUUUGGUCGGAAUUGGCAGCCACUAGAAGCCUUUUUGAGAGACCAUGGGUAGUAUGUGGGGAUUUCAACAUCACCAGAUAUCCAGAGGAGAGAACCAACUGCCAAAGAAUCUAUAGUGCAAUAACAGUUUUCAGGAUGGAUCAAUGGCAUGGAGCUUGUACACCCUCCUUUAUUUGGAGGGUCUUACACUUGGAGGAGUGAAAAUCAUGAGCUUCCAGAAUAGAUAGAUUCCUCUACUCUUCACAGUGGGAGGAACAAUAUCUACACGUCAAACAAUCAUUGAUGCCGAAAUUGGGAUCAUACCACAACCCCAUCGUGCUUACAUGUGGAGAUAUGGACUUCAAGAAAUCAUAAUUUAAGUUUGAACAAUCGUGGUUGGGAGUGGAUGGUUUCAAAGAGAGGGUAAAAGAAUGGCGGGCCUCUUUCAAUGUAACUGGGAGCCCAACAUACAAGUAACUACCAAACUAAAACUCCUAAAAGGAAAGUUAAAAGAACGGGGGAAGGAAAACAAGAAUAACUAGAGACAGAGGGAGGACAUCCUGAACCAAAUUACUGGAUUAGAAAAUAUCAUGGAGCAAAGAGCACCCACGGUUGAUGAAUUACUCCAGAAAGUUCAUUUGGCAAUGUACUUCGAGAAGGUGGUCAAGAAUGAGGAGAUAGAAUGGAGACAGAGGUUUAGAAUCCAAUGGUUGAAAAAUGAAGAUAAUACUAUCACAGAAUGGCCACGCCACAUAAGAGAUGCAACACCAUUGAGGCAUUGACAAAGUUGAAGAGGGAGGGACAUGUAUCACUGAUCCAGAAGUUAUCAAGAUGAAAAUACAUGACUACUAUCA